AUAAGAGUUAUUUUAUCUUAACUUUUGAGUUAUUUUAACUUAAAAUUUAGAGUGGACUUUCUGGAACAUUUUAUUUUUUACUGUGUAAUUUGUGAACUUUUUCUUGUAAGAAGCAUUAAAUUUGAAUCCAAAUCCGUUUUCGAUUCGUCUAUCACUGUCUGCGAAUAUCAUGACACUUCUACAACCACUCUGUGUAUCACGGGGUUAACGACCGAACACGGAGAAUUAUAAUUGUAACGCGACGCGUUCUCGUAUGGCGGUUAUACGAGUGGGCCUCCCGAAUACGCGCGUUAAUUAUAUUUAUCAUUCGCAGGUCGCGCACGCAGUUGACGCAGAAUUCCAUGCUGCGCAUUAAAUAAUAGUCGUAACGGUGCCAAAUGUCAGAUGUACUUCCGGCCGAUAACAAUUUCAUCGCGUAUACGCGCUAUAUCGCCGGGCGGCCGCCUCGCCCGACGGAUCGUAUUACGAAAUUACUUUUUGGCGUGUACACGACAUUAUUACAAUGCCGCCGCGCGCCGCGACCAUGGAAUGACAUCGUUCAUUCUCGCAAUCAGCGCGCGCGAACCGUAAACAGCUGCUGACGAAAAUGGCGAAAAACGAGCUAGUCGAAUGAUCGAUCUCCGAUUUCCGCCGGAAAUACGCUCCCGAGCGAUCCGACGAGCUUGAUUCGGGAAGCGGUAUCAGCUCCCCGGUUUCCGAAAGGAAAUCGACCAAACUGCAUCUCGUUCUAUAAUUUUUUUCUAAUCCUUUUUCUAACGCUCGAAGUCUCGCUGAUCGUAAUAAUCGUGAAAAUUUUUCGAUCGUUCGAAAAAAUGGCAAAUGAUUUUGAAGUGAUUUGUAUGAUUCCGGCUUUUAAUCUUUCCACAAAUACAAAGAAGCAAGUAUAUCCGUUCAAUUCUAACUUCCUGCACCCCUAAAAAUACCAGUGCGAUCUGCACAAAAUCUAGAUAUAGCAGCAAAAUAAAAAUUCAACGUAGCAAAAAUAAAAUAUAAAUUUGAUACAAUUUAUAUGAUACAGAAUUUUUAUCCUACAUUUGAAAUAAAUGGAUUGUUAAAUUUAUUAAGCGCGUGAACAAGCAAAAAUGUAAUAAAAUAUUAUAAAUUCUUUCAUAGCUAAUAAUAUCUGAAAAUUCAUUUAAUUUUUAUUUUAUAAUCAAACUUAAUAAUAUUAAAUUAAUUUUUGCUUAAUUAAAGUUUUAAAUUGCUUUUUAAGUUAAUCUUCAAAAUAAAGAACUUUGUGUGAAUUAAAUUUCUAGGAUGAAAUUAAAUAUAAAAAUUUGUACACUUCCAAAAAAUAUUUAAUCACUCGAACACAAAGCAUGUCAUCACUUAUUUGUAAUAAUUUGUAAAAAAUUACAUAUACUUAUCUGUAUAUGUAAUUACAAUUAAGAUAAUGUUUCAUUACAAGCUAUAAUAAUUGUACAAAUAUGUACAUACUAUUGUCGUGGUGAUGCAAAUUACUUUGUUAUUUCAAAUAAAAUUUUGAAACUUUACUUGCAAUAAGUUUCUAUAAAAUAGUUUAUUGAACUAUGUACGUUAAUUCUACAUAUAAAACUUGUACAGGGAUAGGCAGAAUAUCUGUUACUUGACUUUAGACUGCAAUUCAUAACGUAUAAAACAAGCACACUCACUGGCAGCCGUGACUAAUAGAACGUGUACAACAAAUUUAAAAGAGAAAAGAGACGCUGUAAUUUCUUUGUUUAAAAGUGAUAAAAGUAAAGCUGAUAUUGUGAAGUUGUUAAAAUCACAAAAUAUUUGUAAAAUGUUUAUGUAUCGCAUGAUUAAACGUUGUGAGGACAUUGGCUGUUUAGAUGGCAGAAGAAAUAGUGGUGUUAAACCAACUGUUACGGGCUAAAUACCUCAAAGUUACUUUUCAUCCGCUUAGGAUACCUUUUUAGACAGAAUUGAUCUUAUAAUCAGAUUUAAAGGACAACAAAUCAAAAAUUGAUGACUUAUUGUAGUUUAAAGUAGUAACAAAUAUUCUGCCUAACCCUGUAUAGUUGUCACUUGAAUAGUACAUAGAGUUUGCUACUAUGAACUUUUCUCUAAGUGUCCGGAGGUAAAAAUCGAAGCGUAAAAAUAUUCAUAAGUAUCUCCCUAAAUUAAAAAGUUUCUUACGUAUGCCGAUUUCUUUCUUUUCUAUAUAAAAAUAACUCAAAAUGGUUUUUUUACUGACGUUAAACCGGUAAAUCGAAAGGUAAACCGAGCGACUAAACCAACUGUAUUUUCGUUCUGGCGUAUUCUCUCACAUUGAUGUUACUCGCGAAUGCGUCCGAUUUUCGUGAAACGUUUGCGGAAAUUUGCGCGCGCAUGACCGGCGGCGGUGCACCAAACUAAUUGGUAGACCAAAAAUAGAAAAGACCGAUACACGUUAUGCUUGCAGCUGACGCAAACAACGCUCAAAUCCGCGAUUACAAUAUCGCGCUAACGGCACCACCCUCGCUUGACGUGCGCUCGCGCUAUUUCUCGUAAUGCUCGCGGCUGCUCAUACGUUUAUGUAUUUGACAAGCAUCGUCUUCCGUUCAUAAGUUGUGAAGUGAAAACGUGGGCAUAGAAUUAUAUAUCCCAUAUGAAAAAAUAGUACUUAAUGAAUGAUUAUUUGAACUUAGACCGUUUAAGUGUAAUCACACAAAUAAUUAAGAAAGCGAUAUCAAAUACGGUCUAGGGAGGAUCUUUAUUGCCUAACAUUAUUUUAUGUGUACUCGUCUUCAAUACAUUUUCAAUUUUGAUAAAACUGCGCAUCGAGCACAGUCGGACUUGAAACGUAGUUAUAAACUGAAUCUAGACAUAUAAUGUCACAAAUUAAAUACAUCCUCAUUGAUAAUUGAUUAAUUUAACAAUAUUACUACCAGCAUCUUUAAAAACUACAAAUAAUUUAUUGCGAAAACUAUAUGCUGGCCGUAUACGCGACCAUGGAGUUUUCUUUUAGUAAAUAGGAUGUAAAUAACUGGAAAAUGCUUGAAGAAAUUAUUUCUAAAUUUAUAGAUUAAUAAACGUGUAUUAUUGUUUUUUAUUCAAUGGUACUUGGAAAAAAAUUUGUAAAUAAGACAACUAAGAACUUCACUAAGUCAACAUAGCCGUAAUAUAUAGUCAAUUUUCUAUAUUAAAGUAGCAAAGUGUCAUAACUGAUUAAAAUUAGCGUUUAUAACUAAUAAUAUUUGUUAAAAUGGUACUGUAAAUUUGUUAAUACAUCGAGACAACUUUCUGCAAAAAUCAAUUGAAUACAUAGAUUAAAAUUUUUAACAAAAUCACUAACUAAGAUGGCGCAGACUUUUGUUGUUGUAAUAAAGAAAACUUGAUACGUUAGCAAUUUUUAUCAUAACAAAGAACUAAUUUCUGUAACAAUUCAUUCAUUGUUUUCAGACAUAACUUCUUUGUCACAUCUCAUUACUUAUAGAAGUUGAACUCGUGUAGUAAGUUAUAAGUUAAAACUAAAUUGUAUUGCUAAUGCAGCUGAAAAGUCUUGUUAUUUGAACAAAAAAGAAUUUGUUUUUACAACAAAAUAAUUUGUAGUUUUAUUAUAGUAAACUUAUAGCAAAUAGUACUUAAUUAAUUCUCUUUAAUGUCUAUAUAAUAGAUCUUGCUACAGCAGUAUAAAAUCUGUUAAGCUAGCAAAUUAUUUUUCUGUGUGAUUGGCGAAAAUAAAAGAGUGACUAAUAUCAUAACAAAUGAUUGAGAAAGUUUUACACAGUUUUCGUAACAGAAUUGAUUUUUGUUGUAAUAAAAACGGAGCACGGCUCGAAAAAAUAUCGUAUCAUUUAUGUAAUAUUAUUAGAAUGUUUAACUUUUACUUUUUCUUAUAAAGUCAUUAAAUUAGAAAAAAAUUCUCUAUUGUAUAGAAUAAUAUACUAAAAUAAAAUUGUCAAAUUUUUUCUAUUAAACGCAAUUUUAUUUUUUUAUUUUUUUUAUAUCCGUAUACGUGUCACUGAAUAAAAGCUAAUUAAUUGCAACAACUUUCCGUCGGACACUCUGUAUUUAUAUAUAACAAUUUACAAUUUAUACAGAAGAUUUGUAUGAUCAAAAUCUCAGUUAUGAGAUUUAAAUAAAAUUUGUAGUUGAUAUUAUCAAUUUCGCUAUUUUAUUAUUAAAAUGUUGAUGAUUGAAGGUAUGUUUUAGUUUAACGAGUAUUUAAAUAAAUAUGUUACACAUUGUUUAAAAUGUAAAUUUUGAUAUAUUGCAAUAUUAUAAUUAAACAUUGGAAUCAAAUAAGUAAUUUUUUGAAACGGAAAAUACACGCGAGAUUAACCAAUUUAGAACAUAGAAAGAAAAAAAAUGUUUUCAUAGCAAACAAUAUUGGACUGCCCUUUCGUUAGUCUCGCGCUGCAAAACAAUUAAAAACGGAUGUUGCAUCGCUGGCCCCAUGUUGUUAACGACAAAUAUUUACGAUAUUUACUCGCGUUUGUUUUACGCCAAUUCACGUGAAUUUUGCGCGACAGUUACCUGCCAAUUUAUAUCGAUUGAAUCAUGUUAUGCAAUAGCGACAUUUCCAACGAGUUGAACGAAACGUCAUGUAAUACUUAAGAAAAAUAUUCGUUUCAAUAAAUAGACGAAUCUGUUUAUAGAGGGAAUUUAAUAGUAUUAUAAUUCAUAAUAAUUUAAAAUAAUGUAAAAUAAAAAAUAUAGCACAUACGAUUCAAAUUAAAAAAUUUUAUUAUUUGUUAAUUUUGAGAUUCAUUUUAUUAGAAUAGUGAAAAUAAGUUUUGUCAUUUUAUGUAAAGGUUAAUUUACACGAUACUUUUUUCAUUAACAAUAACUAGCGUGCUAGUUUUCUAUAUAACGAACUAAAAAAUUAGUGACUGACAAAACAUAAUGUUUAUUCUUCACAUGACAUGUAAAAUUAUAAAUGUUUUAUUUCCAUACACCGUGUGUAUAUAAUUAAACAAUGCAUAAAAGAGAGCAAUAAAUAAUAAACCAGCCGGGUUAGGCGUUAAUGCAAAUUUAUCAAUUCUUUAAUUACAUAUAACUCUCAAUUUGAUCUUAAUUAUUACAUAAAAAAUAGCAAAUGAUUCGACUUAUCGUGACGUCAUCUUGCACGGUGGUAUUGUUAAACAAAAUCGUGGAAAGUCUGUACCUCCUGACAUCUUAAUAUUAGCUCUAGAAUUUAGAUUCGUCAAAAACUUACAGGAUUUUUAUCAAAUUUUGUAAGUGGGCUCUCUGUAUAACAGUGAUAAAACAGAGAAUUAUGUGUAAUCGAAAUUGAUAAAUUCGCAUUAACACUCAGUACAACUGGUUUAUUAUUUUUUGCUCUAUUUUAUGUAUUGUUUGACUUUGAAUCUCACCAAGCCUCCGUUGUUAUUGUUUAUACUUUUGUAUACAAUUAUAUUAUUUAAUUAAUAAUUUACUAAUUUGUGUUAGAAGACCAGCUAGUUGCUAGAAGUAUUGUAUAAAUUGAGCCUUAGAGAAAAAAAAUGAUUUUUCUUGCGUGAUUUUUCUUCAUGAAACGAUUUAUGUUCAUGAGAGGAUAAAAAAAUGAUGAAAAAAGAACAAGUAUAUAGAUACAUUUUCUCACCAAACAUUUAUGUCCUUUAUAAUAAUUAUUUUUGCACUUAUUUUAAAAAUUAUCCUACCAUUACCUAAAAUUUAUCCAUAUCUCACUAAUUUAUUAUCAAAACGCGAAAUUUAUUUUCUUUUUAUCACAUUUUUUAGAAGAUAAUAAUAAAUAAUAAAAAAUUAAAUUGAAUACAGAGAGACUCAUCAGUCUCAUCACUAUUAGGAACAAAACAAAAAAAAAAUAGAAAGAUUAUAUUUGAAUCAGUAUGAAAAUUGCUGCGCAAAGAUCUUAACAUAAAAUUUAUCAAUAAAAAAUAAUUUUAUAAUGUUUUAAAAUAGAUUAUUGAUCAGAGGAAUCGUGUAUGUGUUCAGCGUGCGCGCGCGCACAUGUCAUUGGUCUUGCGAUCGCCCGCUGGUAUGUGAAUUUUAAUCACGUUGGGGUGCAUUGCGGGCGAGUCAAGUGCCCAUGGCACUUUGUUGAAGAACGGAGAUCGUGCUCGAGAUUAAUGAGAUGCGACAGAGAGGAUAAACGGAGGUAAAGCCGCCGCGAAAAAGUGUCGGAAGCCGGCCGACGGGGUUAAGAAGCCGCGACGGAUUUACGGACGCUGUCCUCUUCAGAUCCUACGAAGAGGACACAUAGAUUUUUCCUGGCGUUUUCGCGGCGAGUGCCCGCUGGAUCCUUCGCGAAUAAUAUGAAGAUCAUUCCAGUGGGAGAACGUUUUUAUUGCGUCAUGAAACGAUUUAUGUUUAUGAGAGAAUAAGAUAAUGACGAAAAAGGUAACAAGUGUAUAAUUAAAUUUUUUUGUCAAACAUUUAUAUCCUUUAUAAUAACACUUUUUAUACAUAUUUAAAAAAUUAUCUUUGCCCAAAAUAUAUCCACUUCUCGCUAAUUUAUCAUCAAAAUGCAAGAUUUAUUCUUAUUCUCUCUCUUUCUCAUCUUUUUUUAGAGGAUAAUAAAUGACAAAGAGUUAAAUUGAAUAAAGACUCAUAAUUAUUAAAAAACAAAAUAAAGAAAAGUAAAAAGAUUAUUUGAGUCAGCGUGGAAAUUAGUGCGCAAUGACUUAAUUGAUUAUUAUGAUAUAGGGUCUCCCGUUAUAUCAUAAUAAUCAAUUAAGUCAUUGCGCACUAAUUUCCACGCUGACUCAAAUAAUCUUUUUACUUUUCUAUAUUUUGUUUUUUAAUAGUUAUGAGUAAUCAAUUUUAACUCUCUCAGGGUUUAAGAUGACAAAUUUUUCCAAAUUAAUAACAAAUAAUGUACCAACACAGUGGUCUAGAUCUCGAAAAAAACUGGCCAAAAAUGCAAAAAAUAAAAGUCAUAAUUAUGAGUUUAGUAUUAUAGAAUCUUGUAGAGAGGUCACUACAUGUUAUUCCAAAGAGAAAGUAACGGUUCUUUUAUACCUGCAGUGCUACAUUAGUUCAAAAGUGACCGUUCUUAGAGCACGUGAGUCACGCUGAGCGCGUCCGAAAUAUUCGACGUUUUUCAAGUGCGUAUAACUUUUUACUGGAGUGUCUUUUUUAAUUCUGUUUGAUGGAGGGUAUUAACGAAGGUAUGUAGAACAUUUUCGUAUAUUGUUUUUUUUUAUGAAUGUAUACUCGGCAUGAAUCAUGUCAAAGUCCUGCCUGUACAAUUGGUUCUCUUAUAAAAACUUUUACCGUAAAUCAUCGAAAAAGUUAUCGCGCCACUAGGAGCUGCAAAUCUAAAACAUUGAGUAUAUAGCUUAAGAUGUUUUCUAAUAAAGUUUUAAAGAAAAUUCUGCCCAUCUCUGCCCCUGUCGUUGUAAGGCUAUUCUGAAUACAACGAUGUCGAGCCAGUUGUUAGGUUAGGUUCGACACUCAGGCACGCAGAAGGGUCGGCGACUACUUGCCUUUGAAAACUCAAUAGUGAACGUCGACUUUUUAUUGCUAAGAUAAUUUGAAUAUAUAUACCGGGUGUUUUAUUUUAAUAUAUCGUUAAAUUUUCAUAAAGUUUUACAAUUAAUUAUUCAAAUAACACUCCUCAAAAAUAUUAAAUUGUAUACAUAAUUUUUUUUAUUUCACAAUUUCAAAUAAUGCUUAUUCUGAGAGAAAAAUCUGUUUAUAUUUAAUGCUACAUUAUAUCUGUAUUUUAGGAUCGCGUAUUGAUAAAGUGA